UGGGGAAUAUUGCACAAUGGGGGAAAGCCUGAUCCAGCCAUGCCGCGUGUGUGAAGAAGGUCUUCGGAUUGUAAAGCACUUUAAGUUGGGAGGAAGGGCAGUUACCUAAUACGUAUCUGUUUUGACGUUACCGACAGAAUAAGCACCGGCUAACUCUGUGCCAGCAGCCGCGGUAAUACAGAGGGUGCAAGCGUUAAUCGGAAUUACUGGGCGUAAAGCGCGCGUAGGUGGUUUGUUAAGUUGGAUGUGAAAUCCCCGGGCUCAACCUGGGAACUGCAUUCAAAACUGACAAGCUAGAGUAUGGUAGAGGGUGGUGGAAUUUCCUGUGUAGCGGUGAAAUGCGUAGAUAUAGGAAGGAACACCAGUGGCGAAGGCGACCACCUGGACUGAUACUGACACUGAGGUGCGAAAGCGUGGGGAGCAAACAGGAUUAGAUACCCGUGUAGUCCCUGAGCGGGCUGGCAAGGCGCAU
rnacentral:rRNA from 1 species